GUAUGAAGUAUACCUGGUGAGACGUGACAUACUAAUAUGCUCCUAGCGUGUUUCGAUAUGUAAAAGGCCAUAAAAGAAGGUGGCUGGGAUAAUUGAUUUUAUGUUGAGUUUAUGUCUAGGUGAGGGUACAAUCACAAUGUAUCGAGUUGACGAUUAACAGCCACAAGUUUGGAGCAAGUAGGCAUUGUGACAGAAAGGCAUAUAUCAAACCAUAACACUGUAACU